rnacentral:rRNA from 1 species
GACGAACGCUGGCGGCGUGCCUAAUACAUGCAAGUAGAACGCUGAAGGGGGAGCUUGCUUCUCCGGAUGAGUUGCGAACGGGUGAGUAACGCGUAGGUAACCUGCCUGGUAGCGGGGGAUAACUAUUGGAAACGAUAGCUAAUACCGCAUAAUAGUAGAUGUUGCAUGACAUUUGCUUAAAAGGUGCAAUUGCACCACUACCAGAUGGACCUGCGUUGUAUUAGCUAGUUGGUGGGGUAACGGCUCACCAAGGCGACGAUACAUAGCCGACCUGAGAGGGUGAUCGGCCCCACUGGGACUGAGACACGGCCCAGACUCCUACGGGAGGCAGCAGUAGGGAAUCUUCGGCAAUGGACGGAAGUCUGACCGAGCAACGCCGCGUGAGUGAAGAAGGUUUUCGGAUCGUAAAGCUCUGUUGUAAGAGAAGAACGAGUGUGAGAGUGGAAAGUUCACACUGUGACGGUAUCUUACCAGAAAGGGACGGCUAACUACGUG